AUGGCAAACUGGCUAGAAGCAGUCUUCAUGAAGGACAGCGAUGAGCAGAGCUGCCCCCUCGAUCUUGGAAAAGCUGUGGUGGUAGCGAGUGGGAAGGCAUGCCCUCAAAGUGACAGUUUUGCUAUUGGGCCAAGUUUUCCUCUGGAAAAGGCAAAAUCAGUGACCUAUCUCCGGAGUCACAGGGAAAUCGGUGGUUUGUCCUCUGUGGGUUCCCGCUCUCCACGCGCGGCAGAGGGACCAGCUCAGCAGCACGGGCCGCAGGUGGUGAGCAAUCGUGGUUCUGCUCCCCAGCCCAGCAGUAUCUGCAUAUGAAGGAACUCUCGCUUUACAUGGACUUUACUUCAUACGUCAGUGUGUUUAUGCUUCAUAUCUAGCAGACGGGAGAUAUGUAUGCAAUAUAAAACAGAGUGAGUCGCAGAGAAGCUGAAGAGAGAUUUUGCAUUUAAUGUGAUAGUCUCACUACGAAAUAUUAAUUUAAAGCUAGUGGUGGAAAGGUUGAUCUUUGUCUCGUGGCCUUUAAUUCAUACAUGCAUGAAGCUGGUAAUAAAAGUUUUGCAAUGUGAAGGGAUAUUGCA
rnacentral:lncRNA from 1 species